CGAUGUUCUCGGACAGACCUCUUUUUUUUCAAAAGACCGAUCGGCGACGCUAUAGCUUUGGGUACUUUCAGGACCCGUCUUGAAACACGGACCAAGGAGUCUAGCAUGUGCGCGAGUCAUUGGGAAUCACUAAACCUAAAGGCGUAAUGAAAGUGAAGGUCUUCCUCGCGGAGACCGAGGGAAGACGGACGGUUAUACAUUGUACGAUGAUGGCCGUCCUGCAUUCCCGGGGCGUCUCGUUCACAUAGCGUGAAGAGGCGCACCAAGAGCGUACACGCUGGGACCCGAAAGAUGGUGAACUAUGCCUGGUCAGGACGAAGUCAGGGGAAACCCUGAUGGAGGUCCGUAGCGAUUCU
rnacentral:rRNA from 1 species